rnacentral:rRNA from 1 species
GCUUGUCUCAAAGAUUAAGCCAUGCAUGUCUAAGUAUAAGCCUUUACACGGUGAGACUGCGAAUGGCUCAUUAAAUCAGAAACUGUUUAUUUGAUAGUGCCUACUACUUGGAUAACCGUAGUAAUUCUAGAGCUAAUACAUGCAAAAAGCCUGGACUUCUGGAACAGGCGUAUUUAUUAGAUAUACAAACCAACCGCUUCACGGCGUUUCGGUGAGUCAUGAUAACUUUGCGAAUCGCAUGGCCUCGCGCCGGCGAUGAAUCAUUCAAGUUUCUGCCCUAUCAGCUGUCGAUGGUAGGGUCUUGGCCUACCAUGGCGUUAACGGGUGACGGAGAAUUAGGGUUCGGUUCCGGAGAGGGAGCCUGAGAAAUGGCUACCACAUCCAAGGAAGGCAGCAGG